rnacentral:tRNA from 1 species
GGACUGGGGCUUAGCGGUAGAGCACUUGCCUUGCAUGUGUGAGGCACUGGGUUCGAUCCUCAGCACCA